AUCAGCCACCGCGGCUACAGUUUAUAAAGCGCCGCGGUGCGUUUUCAGGUCUUUCCGGCUGGUGGAGCUUAAGCUGUUUAGCCCUGGGGUGGAUGAUGCCGGGUCCUGAGGUCGAUGCUGGGCCCUGGGGUGGAUGAUGCCAGGUCCUAGGUCCUGGGAUGGAUCCUGAACCUGUUCCCCCCCGAGGAUGAGUCUGGGGGCUGCGGGGUUCCUUGUCGAGUCUCCUGAGCUCCAGACAGGAAGACUGAGUGUGGCAUCAGGUGUGGUGUUCUGAGGUCCUGACAUCUCAGCAGCAUGGAGAGAAGCUGACCUGCACAAGUUGGAACCUUCUGGAAGUCCGGCUACAGACUGGCCUCAGGCCACUCGGACCCUGGGACCUCCUACACCAUGUGACCAGGUCGGAUGUUCUACUGAAACUUGUAUGAAGAUCAUUAAAACCUCUGAAACUGGC